rnacentral:rRNA from 1 species
UAGUCCACGCCGUAAACGAUGUCUACUAGCCGUUGGGAGACUUGAUUUCUUGGUGGCGCAGUUAACGCGAUAAGUAGACCGCCUGGGGAGUACGGCCGCAAGGUUAAAACUCAAAUGAAUUGACGGGGCCCGCACAAGCGGUGGAGCAUGUGGUUUAAUUCGAUGCAACGCGAAGAACCUUACCAGGCCUUGACAUCCUUGGAAUCCUGUAGAGAUACGGGAGUGCCUUCGGGAAUCAAGUGACAGGUGCUGCAUGGCUGUCGUCAGCUCGUGUCGUGAGAUGUUGGGUUAAGUCCCGUAACGAGCGCAACCCUUGUCCUUAGUUGCCAGCGCGUCAUGGCGGGAACUCUAAGGAGACUGCCGGUGACAAACCGGGAGGAAGGGUGGGGACGACGUCAAGUCAUCAUGGGCCCUUACGGGCCUGGGGCUACACACGUGCUACAAUGGAACGCACAGA